UACGUAGGGUGCGAGCGUUAAUCGGAAUUACUGGGCGUAAAGCGUGCGCAGGCGGUGAUGUAAGACAGGUGUGAAAUCCCCGGGCUUAACCUGGGAACUGCAUUUGUGACUGCAUCGCUGGAGUGCGGCAGAGGGGGGAUGGAAUUCCGCGUGUAGCAGUGAAAUGCGUAGAUAUGUGGAGGAACACCAACGGCGAAAGCACUCUGCUGGGCCGACACUGACACUGAGGCGCGACAGCGUGGGGAGCAAACAGG
rnacentral:rRNA from 1 species